GACGAACGCUGGCGGCGUGCUUAACACAUGCAAGUCGAACGGAAAGGCCCUGCUUUUGUGGGGUGCUCGAGUGGCGAACGGGUGAGUAACACGUGAGUAACCUGCCCUUGACUUUGGGAUAACUUCAGGAAACUGGGGCUAAUACCGGAUAGGAGCUCCUGCUGCAUGGUGGGGGUUGGAAAGUUUCGGCGGUUGGGGAUGGACUCGCGGCUUAUCAGCUUGUUGGUGGGGUAGUGGCUUACCAAGGCUUUGACGGGUAGCCGGCCUGAGAGGGUGACCGGCAAAUUGGGGACGAGAGACGGGCCCAAACUCUAAGGGGGGGAGGAGGGGGGGAAUUUUGAAAAAGGGGGGAAGGCUGAAUGAGGAAACGCCGGGGGGGGGAGGAGGGCCUUGGGGUGGAAACCCCUUUUCCCCGGGGAGGAGGGGUGGGUAAGGGAAAGGGUAAAAAAAGCACCGGCAAACUCGGG
rnacentral:rRNA from 1 species